UGUGUUACAAGAAUUUAUAGUAUAUCAAUAUUUAUUUCAAAUAUUUUAUUUUAUUAAGUUGUGAUUUUGUCAAUAAAACAAGCGUGCAUACAAUUAAAGUAGAUAAUUUGAGUUUUAAAAUUGAAAAAGCAAGAAUGCGGUUAUGUUCUGCAUUUUGUCGCCAUGUGAAAAUAUACGAAGCCUGAUGAUAUGCGGGUAGAUAUAAAAUAUUCAAUUCAAAGGUAAUGAUGUAGAAAGGAAAAAAAAAGUAACGAAAAGAAAUUUUUAACGAUGGAGAAAAUUAAAAUAAUGCGAGAAUUUUUUUUUUUUUUACCAAAGGAAUAAAAUAAAUUGGUCAUUAAAAAAAGAUGCCAUUACUUUGACUUGGAAAUUGGGAUAUUCUAUCCUCGAUGGCUUUUGGUGUCACUUCAAAGCUAAGGGCAAAAGUAAAAAAGGAUAUCUUGAAGGACACCGAAUUCUUCAUAUUCAAACUUUUUAAAACUCGGUCUAUUUUUACGGUUAUUUUUCACAUUUUCUAAAUGGAAAUUUAACUUGAAAGUAGGGAUCUCCGAGUGCUAUUUAGUUUGAAAGAAUCUCCCAGAAGCUGAAAAUUUGUUAUCAAGGUAAAAUAUUUUAAUUUAUGGGAAAAAAUUUUAUUACAAAAAAUUUAGUUGUAUUUUUUGACGUGACAAUUCGAAAACUAUAAGUCAUUAUUUCAAGAUUUUUGUGUUAUUCAAUUACUUUAGAUUUAAUCUCGAUGCCACAUUUAUUUUUGUCAAAUUUGGAAAUAAAAUUUUUUUAUAUCUUUCUAUAUU